AUGGCGUGCAUAAGCUUAAUCUUGGUCAGCUUUGUCAUCCUCGUCCUCGCCGUUGUUGCAUCUCUCGGCGUCGGCGCCGCUGCUGCAAUUGGCAAGCAGGACAAGUUCCUGGCUCCAGUGCAUCCUUCCUGCUCGACCACUGGCAACUACACCGAUGGCAGCCAGUUCAAGAAGAACCUCGACGAGCUCCUCGCCGCCCUCCCCGCGGCUGCCAGCAGGAACGAUGGGUUCUACAUCGGCACUGCGGGGGACUCGGGAUCUCCCGACCAGGUCUUCACCCUCAUCAUGUGCUAUGCCGACCACGACGCGGCAGAGUGCCUGGAAUGCCUCACCGGAGCGCCGGCGGGGAUCAUGGCCUUGUGCCCUGGCAGCCGGGACGUGCGCGCGGCAUACGAUGCGUGCAUACUCCGGUACUCACCGGUGUCAACCUUUGCAUCAACGGCCGACCUUGACAUCGCUUUCUACGUGAAGUACACCGCGCCCAUCCCGGUCGAUCCGGUGGCCAUGGCCAGGGUGUGGCUUCCGCUGAUGGCCGACCUCACGGGACAGGCCGCUGGGUCGCCGGCGCGGGCAGCGAGUGGGAGCACGCUGUACGAUGCCUCGUGGCGGGUGUUCGGGCUGGCGCAGUGUACGAGGAACCUCAACGCGAGCGAGUGCAGCCGGUGCCUCUCCUCCUUGGUCGGCAAACUGCCGGAGCUGUUCCAGAACGAGACCGGUGGCGCCGUCAAGGCAUACAGCUGCUACGUGCACUACCAGAUCGGCCCCUUUGACAUAACCCUUCCACCUGCAUCAGAACCCCCGCCGCCGUCGUCUCCAAAGCCCGGAGAAGCAUCGUCUUCUUCAAGAACAAGGCUCCUGAUCGGCAGCUCCAUUGGUGCCGUGUCGUUCUUGAUCAUUCUGGUUGGUGUCUUGGUCUGUCUCCUUUUCCGACGACGGCAAAAGCACCCAAUCACUGCCAAUAAGCAGGCAAAGGGGCAAGAGCCGGAAGAUGGCAAAUUCUCCGACGGCGACGACCCAGCCAUGGAAGACGACUUCGAGAAAGGGACUGGGCCCAAGCGGUUUCACUACGGUGAGCUGGCCAUCGCCACCGACAACUUCUCCGACAAGAAGAAGCUCGGGGAAGGAGGUUUCGGCUCCGUGUACAGAGGAUAUCUCAAGGAGUCGAACCUCGAGGUGGCCAUCAAGCGAGUCUCCAAAGGUUCCAAGCAAGGGAAGAAAGAAUAUGCUUCCGAGGUGACGAUCAUAAGCCGACUCCGGCACCGAAACCUGGUGCAGCUUAUCGGCUGGUGCCACGGCGGGGGCGAGCUGCUCCUUGUCUACGAGCUGAUGCCCAACGGCAGCCUUGACACGCACCUCUACGGCGGCAAGAACGCAGCCGUGCUGCCAUGGCCGGCCAGGCACGAGAUCGUGCUUGGACUGGGCUCUGCCCUCCUGUAUCUUCACCAAGAGUGGGAGCAGUGCGUCCUGCACAGAGACAUCAAGCCAAGCAACAUCAUGCUGGACGCCUCCUUUGCUGCCAAGCUUGGCGACUUCGGGCUUGCCAGGCUCGUCGACCAUGGCAGGGGCUCGCACACCACGGUGCUCGCCGGCACGAUGGGGUACAUGGACCCGGAGUGCAUGACAACCGGCCGGACCAGCGCCGAGUCGGACGUGUACAGCUUUGGAGUUGUCCUCCUCGAGAUUGCCUGCGGCAGGCGGCCUCUGGCGGUGGCAGAAGAGGAACAGAUGGUCCACCUGGCCCAGCGGGUCUGGGCAUCAUACGGCAUGCGAAGGGUUCUUGAUGCCGCUGACGCGCGGCUGGAAGGGGAGUUUGACGGCGAGGAGAUGGAGCGUGUGAUGGUCGUCGGGCUCUGGUGCGCGCACCCCGACCGGAGCCUCAGGCCGUCCAUCAGGCAGGCCGUCGGUGUGCUGCGGCGCGAGCAGCCUCUGCCGACCCUACCGGAGAGGAUGCCGGUGGCAACUUUCUUGUACGUGCCCCUACUGGUUGAUGGUUCAAGUUCCACGUUGUCUACUGGUGUCACCGGCGCUGGCGGCAGUGGCAGCAGCGGAACUGACACGCCGGCGGACAAGUCGAUGUCGAUGCGAAGCAACACGGUAGUGGAUGGACAGAUCACUGGACGCUAA
rnacentral:rRNA from 1 species